CUUCUUUUGAGAAAUGUCUAAUUAGAUCAUUUGCCUACUUUAAAACUGGGUUAUUUGUUUUUGGUUGUUAAUUUGAGUUCCUUGUAUAUUCUUGUAUAUCCAUUUUUGUAGUCAGAGUGAAGAUGACACUCUUUCUGAAUUUUAUCAUCCUAAGCAGAAGCUGAAUUUCCCUGGAUAUAUUUUUAAUAUAGAGCUCAUAGGAUUUGCUAAUCUGUAGAGUGAGAGAGAGAGAAAGAGAAGUCAUGGAUGUCUUCAAGAUUUGGGGCCUAAGAGACUGGAAUAAUACAUUGCCAUCAAGUGUGUUAGAAAAAUCAGCACAUGGAGCACCGGUGGAUGGGGAGAUCAGAAGUUUAAUUUUGAAUAUGUUGAGUUUUAAGGCUGUAAUUGGAAACUCUGUUAUCUCUCAUAACACUUAUGUUUCUGAGUGUGAUACUUAAAAAUCUCUAUUCUUCAAACCUCCACCUUUAGAUAAACAGCAUAUUUUCUAAAAGAAGGGCUCCCUGCACUUCCCACAGGAUUGUGAAUGAAUAAUAAAGGUCUUCUCCAUCUCAAGAGGUAAGAAUACUGAGGACCUUCAGACACGCAUACAGGAAGGUGGCACACGUAUUUCUAGGGACAGGAGUCUCGUUUCUUGAAUAUUUCCUCAAGAAGGUAAGUUUCUAUGUGAAUAAUGAAAUUUUGUUAGAUGAAAGUACUUCUAUUGUCUCCACACGUUGAGAAGGUCAAGGAGAGCAGAGCCCAUGGUGAUUACCUCCAGGAUACUAGACCACCUAAGCAGAACACGGGAAGAAGCUGCAAAACCAAGUCAUGCCUGUGUUAGCAACCACCCACCUCCAACCUACAUAAAUAGUUGAAAAGUACAGAGAAGCAGGGAAAGGAAAGAUCUUUGGAAGGAGUCAUUAGGGGCUGUAGCAAUUCCCCCCCAGCCCAUCCUCAGGGUCAGGAGUGAGGGGGAAGCACCUGAAGCCAAGCAAAAGAACGUUCAGACAACACUUCAGAGAUCUUGACAUUUAUGCCAAGCAUUUGGGAGGGUAAAAGGGCUUGUACUAGAAGCUGUAGUUCCAAUGGCUGAAGGCAGCAGAGCAAAGAAAGAGGCAGGGCUGCACUGGGGGCGGCUGCACUUCCUCCAGUGUUGAGACAGUUCGUUUGUAGAAGUUCUAUCUCAUUGCACACAACCUUCCUAGAAAUACUGACAGUCUCCGUCAGCCAACACAACUUUCUAUGAGGUCUGGCUACAUCCCAGUCACGUCAAGGAGUCUGAUCCAUGUCGUUACAAAUAUCCCAGUGAAGGGGGAAAUAAAGCUUAGUUUAUGAUUUUUGCAAGUAAGAAUGGAAUAAAAGCAAAUCAGAUUCCAGGUUGGAUUAUCAUUUGAACUCAACAUUAUGUUCUUGAUGAUUGAUAAAAGAAAAAAAAUUAGGAGACAUAACAUCUAGCCCAGGCAAAACUAAUUUGGAAGGCUUUCAGGGAAAAGGCUGCUUAGAAUCAUGAGACCAGAAUGGGGAGCAGUUGUGUGUUCAUUUCCACUCAAGUUUUUCCAUUUUCCUUCUCUAGCAUCUUCUUUUGUCAUAAUAAUUGUUUCUCUUUAUAGGCACACACACAGAGAUUAGUAAUUACCUUAGACCUAGACUUUUUAAAAAUGUAUACAUUUAUAGAUUACUAUCAAACAUUUUCCAGUGGCCCGAGGAAAACUACUAUUUUGAAGUAAAGUAAUACCAUGGAGUAUUUUAUGUACCUUCCUUGUCUUUUACUGGCUUGAGGAAGCCAGUCACUGCCCCCACACACUCUUUUUUUUUCUUCCUUAAGCAGAUGAAGGGAAAGUUGCCCUUUUUCUUUUUUUUUUUUUUUUUUUUUAGAAAUCUAUCUCCUUCUGACAUGAGGGCUUAUGGGUUUUGUUUCAUUCUUGUUCAAAGCCUUUAGCUUAAGCUAUGCCAAGGCCGUCUGUAGCAGCUGACUUCUGCUUUCUGCUGGGUCUUCAAUUCCUGUUUCUCAUACCACAAAAGAAUGGUUGCUGAUGCUACUUUAGAAAGGGAAGUCAUUUGCCCUUUCAGAUAAAAUGAAGGAAGCCCUGAGGAGGCUGCAGAAUCUUUUCCCAUGAACUGGACGCUGCUCAUAGAGGCCUGGCUGUGACAGUGACAGAGGCUCUGGAACCACAGGAUAGACCAGUGAACUCAUUUUUCUUGCCAGGUGAGGUCUGGUAUAUGAUUUUGACUUGAAUAUGAUUUUGAUUUGUACAUGUAUAUAUUUCUGGAACAGAAUUGUGCCUUCAAAUAAGUGACUUUUCUAACUUUAGGUUAUACAUGGUGUGACACUAAGUUAAAACUAAGUGCAUUUUCCUUCAAAGAAAUGGUUUCUUACAUACAGCAAUUCAUAACUUAACAACAGUGGGGUUCUUCUUGGGUGUCUUGUUUUGCAUUCUAUCAGUAAAGAAAGCUGAAUUUAACACUAGUUGCAAGAAAAAAAAUGCACAAGCGCAUUUUAAUUUCUCUUUCUCAAACUUCUUUUCUUGGAUGUAAUUUUAAGUGUAUACUUCACCAAAUUAAUAAGUACCCUAUACAUUGCCUAUAUGUAAGACCUCUCCUGGGGAAUUUGGAAGUAAUCAAUGUUUUUAAGCAGCAUCAGUUCUCAUGAAUAAAAAUCUUUUGUACAGGAUGAUAAGCUAUUCAUUACACAUAAUCAUUGUGCAGGGUAGUAGCAGGGGUGGCGUUUUGUUCAGAGUUUGUAUCAAAAUACGUUAGGCUUAAUGUUUUCAGCAAACGACCAUAUUUUGUAACAUAAAAUGUGAAGUUGUUUUGUAAUUGGAAAAGGGGACAAAGAACAUGUUUGUCAUUAGGAAACAUCCUUUUGUGUUCAGCUUUGUCAUAAACUUUUUUAGGUUGGUUAAUCUAUCUGUAUAAAAUCUUUGUAAGUUAUGACAACUGCACCUAUUUCAAAUGGUGGAGUGGUGUAUCUUAUUUGGAUGCGGUUAUGAAUUAGGCACACGCAACGACCAUGUCCAAGCCUGGCACUGGCUCCUACAGCUCCAUCCUUCAUAGCGCUCCUCCUGGGCCCCAAGGUGCUGCUGGUGGUUUGUGUCUCUGUCAUCUAUGUCCAUUGGAAGCAGAAGGCCUGACUAUCUUCAUUGAAAGACUGGAGUUCCUUGAGAACGCCUUGACAGUUUCUUCCUUGGGAAGGCACCUUGCUGCUCCAAGCACAGAUCUGCGAUCUUCCUGACACGAUUGCAUCGUUUCUGAGUCCUGUAUUCCAAACUGUGAUGUUUUGGAGGCAUGAAAUGUUAUGGCUCAUACCUUCCAAGCCAAUUGCUAUUUUCAUGAGAAGAAAUAUUCCUCUUUCAACUGCUGGUAUGUUUUACUUUGAAUUAUAUUUCUUCAGCUAUUAAUAUUUCUUUUUUUGCUUUGUACACAAUACACUUUUAUAUAAAUAUGUAGGUAAACAUAACAUUUUGCACCUUCAAAUUUAUCAUUCAAUAAAGAAGCUUAUUAAAAUCAGCAAAACAUCUUAAAUAUAUUUUAACAAUGUACAAAUGUAUUCACAACAUAAUCUGCUGAUUAAGAGACUCCACCAAGUUUAUACCUACAACACAAUUUACAGAUGCCUACAAUAGUUUGUACAUUUAUUUAGUUUAUAAUAACAUCUAUUGCUUUAAGAAAUAUCAUUCAUACAAAUGCGUGAUAUGUAACAUUCUCAUUAUAGUAAGAAAGAAUAUAGGUUUAUAAAACAAAGUGUCUUUACUCAUUAUGUGAAGUAUGUAAAUGAUUAUUCUCACUUUUUAGUCAUAAAACAUAGAUAUCAUUAGGUCAAAGAGCAUUGAAGAGCUCCAGGAGGUUCCAAAGAAAAAUCUGGUUAGCCUUUUACACAAUAAAUACAACAGCACCAAUCUCUUGGUAUUCCUGAAACAUAAACUAUGAUGAUUUCAUUUAUGUUAAUUGGGCCUUAAGUAAAUGACUUCUUACAAAUGAAAAUAAACAAAAUUUUAGAAACUAGAUAGUACCAAUGGCCUAAACUUGGUUUUUACUUGUUAUUGUAUUUCUAAGAAAUUUUACCAUGAAGUACGUAUUAAAAAAUAACAAUUAUUUCUAACUUACCCAUAAGCCAAAGUGCUCACUCAUACCAUGGAAACAAAACUUGCUUCUGAAAAUAAUCUAAAGAAAUAAUCUGUAAACACCUAGAGCUUUGAAAUGGACUAAGAACAUCCUAUGCUCUAUGGAUCAAAUUGCAAAGGCCUUCAUUACAUAUAUCAAUAAACACACUUUGGUUAAUUUGGGAUAUAUUGAUAUUGCAUGACCAUGUGCCUACCUCUGUAUACCAUUAACCAAAUGUUGACGUUUAUAGUGACAACACAGUUUUGAGCCCCAAGUGCUGGAAAGAAAAUAAAAACAAUAUGAAAAGUA